CCAUUGAAACAAACUAACAAAACUAAACAGUCAUGCCCAUUUGGAAGAGUCCUAGUUAACCUUCUAAAUAGCCCAGAUUAUGAUGCAAAGAGAGAUGAUUCAGUUGUACCAAGUUUUAUAAAAAGACAGACCUCUAGAUCAGGAUGCCGAGAUUUGUUUGUGCCUGGAUCUAAACCAAGUGGAAAUGAUUCCUGUGAAUUGAGAAAUUUAAAGUCUGUUUAAAAUAUUCAUUUCAAAGAACCUUUGAUGUCAGAUGAAAAGAGUUCUGAACUUAUUAUUACUGAUUCAAUAACUCUGAAGAAUAAAACUGAAUCAAGUCUUCUAGCUAAAUUAGAAGAAAAUAAAGAGUACCAAGAACCAGAGGUUCCAGAGAGUAACCAGAAACAGUGGGAAUCUAAGAGAAAGUCAGAGUGUAUUAACCAGAAUCCCAUUGCAUCUUCAAAUCAGUGGCAGAUUCCAGAGUUAGCCCGAAAGAUUAAUACAGAGAAUCAUAUCACUUUUGAGCAACCUGUCUUUCCAGUUUGAAAACAGUCACCGCCAAUGUCAGCUUAUAAAUGGUAUGAUCCAAAAUCUAUUUGUAAGACACCAAGCAGCAAUGCCUUGGAUGAUUACAUGAGCUGUUUUAGAACUCCAGUUACAAAGAACGACUUUCCACUUGCUUGUCAGUUGUCAACACCUUAUGGCCAACCUGUCUGUUUCCAGCAGCAACAGCAGCAAAUACCUGCUACUCCACUUCAAACUUUACAGGUUUUAGCAUCCUCUUCAACAAAUGAAUGCAUUUCAGUUAAAGGAAAAAUUUAUUCCAUAUUAAAGCAGAUAGGAUGUGGAGGUUCCAGUAACAUAUUUCAGGUUUUGAAUGAAAAGAAACAGAUAUAUGCUAUAAAAUAUGUGAACUUAGAAGAAGCAGAUAACCAAACUCUUGAUAGUUACCAGAACGAAAUAGUUUAUUUGAAUAAACUACAACAACACAGUGAUAAAAUCAUCCGGCUUUAUGAUUAUGAAUUCACAGACCAGUACAUCUACAUGGUAAUGGAGUGUGGAAAUAUUGAUCUUAAUUGUUGGCUUAAAAAGAAAAAAUCCAUUGACCCAUGGGAACGCAACAGUUACUGGAAAAAUAUGUUAGAGGCAGUUCAUACAAUCCAUCAAUAUGGCAUUGUUCACAAUGAUCUUAAACCAGCUAACUUUCUGAUAGUGGGUGGAAUGUUAAAGCUAAUUGAUUUUGAUCGCAAACCAAAUGCAACCAGAUACAAGUAUUGUUAAAGAUUCUCAGGUUGGCACAGUUAAUUAUAUGCCACCAGAAGUGAUCAAAGAUAUGUCUUCCUCCAGAGAGAAUGGGAAAUCUAAGUCAAAGAUAAGCCCCAAAGUGAUGUUUGGUCCUUAGGAUGUAUUUUGUACUAUAUGACUUACGGCAAGACACCAUUUCAGCAUAUAAUUAAUCAGAUUUCUAAAUUGCAUGCCAUAAUUGAUCCUAAUCAUGAAAUUGAAUUUCCUGAUAUUCCAGAGAUAGAUCUUCAAGAUGUGUUAAAGUGUUGUUUAAUAAGGGACCCUAAACAGAAGAUAUCCAUUCCUGAGCUCCUGGCUCAUGCAUGCAUUCAAAUUCAAACUCAUCCAGGUAAACAAAUAGCCAAGGAAACCACUGAAUAUGUUCUUGGCCAACUUGUUGGUCUGAAUUCUCCUAACUCUAUUUUGAAAGCUGCUAAAACUUUAUAUGAACAGUAUAGUGGUGGAGAAAGUCAUAAUUCUUCAUCAUCCAAGACUGUUGAGAAAAGUAGGAAAAAAAUGAUUUGUAGUUACUGGUAAACUCUCAAAUACCACCUAUAAAAUAUAUUGGAUUGUUACACUCUUGACUCCCUUGUGGAAAUCUACAAUUGAAGAUAACAUCACUCUGAAGUGUUAUCAGCAAAAAAAUUCAGCAGUUUAUUUUCAAAAGAAAACUGUAAAAAUAGCAACCACUUGUGGCACUGUAUAUAUUGUAGAAUGGUUUUCUCUGUUUUGUGUGCUUGUGUAAUGUGUUUGAUAUCAUUUCACUCUUGGAAUAGUGGGUGUAUAACAAGUAUAUUCUGAAAAACUUUGUAAAUAAAGUUUUGUGGCAUAAAAUGA